rnacentral:rRNA from 1 species
CCCUUCGGGGCUCCUUGGUGAAUCAUAAUAACUUAACGAAUCGCAUGGCCUUGCGCCGGCGAUGGUUCAUUCAAAUUUCUGCCCUAUCAACUUUCGAUGGUAGGAUAGUGGCCUACCAUGGUGGCAACGGGUAACGGGGAAUUAGGGUUCGAUUCCGGAGAGGGAGCCUGAGAAACGGCUACCACAUCCAAGGAAGGCAGCAGGCGCGCAAAUUACCCAAUCCCGACACGGGGAGGUAGUGACAAUAAAUACUGAUACGGGGCUCUUUUGGGUCUCGUAAUUGGAAUGAGUACAAUCUAAAUCCCUUAACGAGGAACAAUUGGAGGGCAAGUCUGGUGCCAGCAGCCGCGGUAAUUCCAGCUCCAAUAGCGUAUAUUAAAGUUGUUGCAGUUAAAAAGCUCGUAGUUGAACCUUGGGUCUGGCUGGCCGGUCCGCCUCACCGCGAGUACUGGUCCGGCUGGACCUUUCCUUCUGGGGAAUCUCAUGGCCUUCACUGGCUGUGGGGGGAACCAGGACUUUUACUGUGAAAAAAUUAGAGUGUUCAAAGCAGGCCUUUGCUCGAAUACAUUAGCAUGGAAUAAUAGAAUAGGACGUGCGGUUCUAUUUUGUUGGUUUCUAGGACCGCCGUAAUGAUUAAUAGGGAUAGUCGGGGGCGUCAGUAUUCAGCUGUCAGAGGUGAAAUUCUUGGAUUUGCUGAAGACUAACUACUG